GUCUACAGCCAUACCAUCCUGAAUGUGCCUGAUCUCGUUUGAUCUCAGAAGCUAAGUAGGGUAGGGCCUGGUUAGUACUUGGAUGGGAGAAAAAGUCUAGAAUAAAUACUAGGUUUCAGGUU
rnacentral:rRNA from 1 species